rfam:Rattus norvegicus chromosome 3, whole genome shotgun sequence.
GGGGAUUUAGCUCAGUGGUAGAGUGCUUGCCUAGCAAGCACAAAGCCCUGGGUUCAGUCCCCAGCUCCG